GGCAGUGUUGCCUAAAGGGUAGGGUGCUGACCUGGCACUCUACAGACCUGGGUUCCAUUCCCGGCUCUGCCG
rnacentral:tRNA from 1 species